UAUUUGCAUCGCCACGGAUUGCUCGUCUUGGGUCUAUAAAUAGCCUUAACAUACAUUGCUAGUCUUCAGACGUCCCAUAGCCACCAAAUUUCUCUUCUCCUGGUAGCUGUGAGCUUUAGUAAAUUCUCAAACCACCAUGCCAGUUCAUAAUCCUCCCACUAUGAAUCCGUCACAGUUCAGGGACUGGCUCAAACGUGUCGACCUCAAUGGAGAUGGUCGCAUCAGUAGGGAUGAGCUGAAACGAGCACUCCGUGAUCUUGGAAUAAAUUGGGCGACACUGAAGGCGUGGUUGGCUGUGUUCAGGAACGACCUCAACCAUAACCAUUGCAUCGAUGGUGAAUUGGAGAUUAAGAAGCUGCAAGAGUAUGCAGCCAAGCACUGGGGAAUCGUCGUCCGUGAAUGAUGGCAUGCAUGACAUGGAUGCAUGUGCCAUUAAUAAAUCAAGUCUACCAUCUCUCUGUCUUUAGGUUCUCUAUAUUAUGUCCUCCUAUAAUAGCUAGAACUGCAUGUUUCCUGUAUGCGCUGCUUUUCUUGUUGUUAGCUGACCUUGUGCGUAUGCGCGCGCCUCAUUUUCUGUUGUUCUAGUUUGGUGUUAAAUAACCUAUAAUGAAAGAGCUUCGUCUGCUUAAAAAAAGGUGGAAGGAGCUCCUAAUGAAGUAUGCUUAAAGUUGUCAUGAUGUCAACUUUCUGCUCCUUUUGUUUAUAUUUAUGUGUGUGUGUGUGUGUGUGUGUUUAUGAACAUGGCCGGGCUUUCCUAGCUUAUAAUAACUUGAUUUAGCUUUUUAUUUUUUUGAAAAUUACUUUUUUUUUGGGUGGGGGUGAUGCUCUUCUGACCAUUCUUUUGGUGGACAAGGAAGUGAAGAGCACAGAUAAGAUGGACACACAAGCCACCAUUUCUCCCGAAAGCAUUAAAGGAAGCAAAAUGAUUUCUUACCUCGCAUAGAAGCUGCCAGUGUAGACACAUCACCAAGGGUUAAUGGAGAGGGAAAAAAUGAAAAAGGCAAAUUAUAUAGAGAAAAAAAAAGGGGGACACUAGGUAGAUGAUGCAAAUAUAUAUAAUAAAUAAUAUAACAAAAACAAAUAGAUUUGUUGAGUAUGUCUCGAACUAAAAAGGUUUAGAAAUGCAAAAAGAGACCUUUUGCCGGAGCAAAGCAAGCAAAGCGAGUAGAGCAACAAAGCUGUAAGAAUCUGGACCCUUUAAUUAUUCCUGCAUGAAUCUGAAAAUAGGAAUNNNNNNNNNNNNNNNNNNNNAUUUCUGUCUAUAAAUUUUCCAGCCCUCUCACUCUAUGCAUCGCUCAAAUCUUCAGUAAAUCGCCGGUGAUAUCAUAGGGUUUAGAAGGUUCUUUCUGUCGUAUUUUCUUUUUUUUUUUUUGUUUUUUUUUGAGAAGUGGUUUUCUGUAUCUUUUUGUUUUAAGACUAUAGCAGCGUGAUGAUACAAGAAACAAGUAACAAUAUAAAGUCAUGGGCUGAUCCCGUUCCUCACCGCAUUUCAUCAAUUGGUUCCCCACAUUUUUGCUCAAGUAAAACUCAGGCUUGUGGCCCGACAUAAUGAAGGAAUACGAAAUCUGCGACGUGCUUCAUCCAUGCACUUAUAAGGCAUUUCUUGUCAUUAACUAAAGGUGAUCGACUACCAUCCCAUUCCACCUUUCUAAAAGACUCGGAAUAAAACUUUCGGUUUCGUCUUUACGUCUGUCUUUCAACUUAACUUGAGAGCCGAAUCAUCUGUUCGCAUGUUGAUCACUUGAUGUUGGCCUUUUCCUUAAUGGCUUGGCUCGAGGAGUUAGGUUGCGAAUUCAAAAGAAAUGCUACACUUGCGUCUCAUGAACACAUCUAUAGUUAAUAUCUCAAGGUGCUGAAUAACCGAUCAAUUGACCAAGUUAAAAAGUAACAUGCACCACUGAGUAAGUUCGCUGGAUCAUUUGACUGACUCAAAAAGUUGCUGAUAUUGUAUCACAAGAUGCUGUGCAAUCUAUCAAAGGACUGAGCCAAAAAGUUUUAUUCUAUACCCCAGUCGAAUCAACUUUAUUAACAAAAAGGAAUCCAUAUUUUGUUUUGCCAAAAACAAAAAAGAAAUCCACAUUUUGGUCAAGCCACUGCUAUGGUCCCGUAAAAAGCCAUGUGGGCUAUUCAAUGAAUGUUCAAAACCAAUUAUGAUUACGUACUCAUAGAUUUUGUAAUUUUUAUUUCUAUAAAUUUUGCAGAAAAGAAUACAGCUGAUUUUUUAAUUAAAAUAUACUUUAUUCAUUUUUAGAGGCAAUCUAUAUUGGAUGCUUGUAUCUUCAUGAUCACUAGUUGAUGAGGUUGCACCUUGUUAUUAAAGGCAAAGAUAUAAUAAUAUGGUAAAGUCUAAAAUAGAAGAACCUAUUAACCUUAAAAAGUAAACAAUAAUAAUUUUUUUAUAGAAUACUUUUAUAUUACUAUUUUUGACAAUAUACACAAGCUGAAUUCUUGUUUGUUGGAUGAAAUAGUGAUGUAAGCCUUUUGCAUGCCAAAGAAAGAUACCACGUCUUGCUUGGACCCAUGUCCACCAUGUCAAUGUGAUACCUCCUUGAGGGAUCCUACCCAUGUGUGCAGCAAAAAUUGAAGAGCGAAGGUAGAGAGAUUAAAUUGUAAGGUUGGCAUUAAUAUAUCAUUUUUUUUCAAAAUAUUAGAACUCACCAUUUAUCAUAUUUCCUCUUCAUCAUCUUAUCAUCUCCCCUUUCGGAUUGGUGAAAUAUCACAAAUAUGGUACUCGACAUCGAAAUGGCCAUGAAUAGAUUUAGGAGCAAUGGAUAUCCAAAAUGAAAAAUAAUAUCAACGUCAAUACUCGUUGCUUACAACAAAGUCAAUCCAUUAAUAGGGUCCUCUAUCUAAUACCCAGGUUAUUAUGGAUCAAGAUUGUGCUGCAAAUCAAAAUACAAAAAGAGAUUGUUAUCGUAACGGCCCAGGUUCUUGGGCCUGUAAACCCUUGACAGCCCAAUGAAAAAAAAAAAAAGAAUGAAAAAUUAAGGGAAGGAGGAAGACUCCUAAUUGGAGUCUUCUUUUUCUCUAUUUCCGAUGAAAUCGGACACGAAGAGUCCGGCUAGGGUAGAAGAUCUUCCCUAUAAAGACCCUCCUUCCCUCCCUUAGGACCUUACAACAAACUUUCGAAGAAAUAAAAGGGAUAUUUUCAAAAGAGAGAGCCGUGAGCAGUUGAUCAGAAGAGAGGGGCUACCGGAGCUGUUUUUGGCUGUCGGAAUAAGGUAUGUAUCUUCUCCCUUCUUUUCGGAUUGAUCUUUCUGGCCAUCGACGUGCUUGAAAGCCGGCAAGAUGCCGGUUUGGGCUCAAACAGGGCACCCUUAUUUGUGUUGUUUCUCUCCUUCCGUCGCUGACAGCAGGGAUGGGUGGGGCUGCCAUCGGGACGGUAGCAUCGCCGCCACUGGGGUUACCGAGGAGGGUGGUCGGAGAUGGCCUACCCGGGCCGUGGGAAGAGGAGGCAUUCGAGAUGGGGGUCGGGUCCCCUGCUUUGAUCGUGGGGAAGAGGAGAAGAAAUCUCUUCUCUCUUCUCAAAAUAAAAUUUUAAAAAAUAAUAAUAAUAAUAAUUAAAAAAAAUUAAGACACAGGUAAGGGUUCUGAUAAACCUCAAUAUAUGAUUUUUUUAAAAAAAUUAAUUUGGUUAAAUUGAUUUGUUUGAUAGAAAAACAGUCCAACGAACAGGAGGACAACAAGUAGGAUUUUGAUAUUCAGACUGUAAGGCUGUGAGUUUGAUUUCUCAUUGAUCGAGAUAAGAAUUCUAUACAUGAUCAUCACUAUAUAUGUUAUUUGUUCAUUAGUUUUAUGAUGUUGAUUUUGCAUUACUGGAUUUAUGAUCGAUGAGUUUUUAUGCUUGAGACAACGAUAUAUGGCUUAUAUGAUUUUUUUUAAAUAUAAGCAUGUUAUGAAAAGAUUUCUAUGAUUGAUGGUAUGAGUCUUAUGGAUAUGACAUAUCAAUUUGAUCAACCUGUAAUUUAAAAUUAAUUCAAUGAAAUCAAUAAUUAAAUGAAAAGAAUAUGAUUUGGACUAGCCUCGAUAUAUGGAUCAGCCGGUCAGGAGCUCAUGCCUGGGACAGCCCGCCAGGAGCUUAUGCCUGGGAUAGCCCCUACUGCCUUAUAGGUGGAUCAGCCAGUUAGGAACUCAUACUUGGGACAGCCCGUUAGGAGCUUAUGCCUGAGACAGCCUCUCACGGAUUUUCGUACGUGGGACAACCGGUCAGGAGCUCAUCUUGGGACAGCCUUGAAAGGCUUAUAUGAAAAGAAAAAUUGGAUUGGAAAGAGAUUGAGGUAUGGUCUGGGUUAGUCUAAAGCCAAAAGGGAUAAAAGAUUGUCAAACCGAAGAUGUGAAAAGAUGAAACAUAUAACAUAUAAUUCAAGAAUGAAUGAAAACUUGGUGAUAUGUGAUGAUCCAUAUUUAUUAAAUGCAUGUUCAUGUCAAUAUUCGAGUUAUUAUAUACGUAUGAGCCUUCACAAAAUUAUAUUAGUUUUAAAAAUAUUAAUUUUAUCUAUUGGCUUGAUGUACAUGUGCAGUGAUUCUUACUGAGCUGGAGAAGCUCAUAUUUCCUUCUUGUUUUUUUUUCAGACUCACAGGAUACUUAGUUUGGAUGGUUUGGAUGAGAGCAAAAAAGAACUGAAGCCUUUAGUAGUUCAGUUAGUUUAAAUUCUCUAAUACCAAUGAACAUUUGAAUAAUUGUAUUGAAUAAAGUUUACUUUUGAUUUGAAGUUGUGACUCGAUUGAUUUAUUUGAUAUUUAUUUGAUUAUUUAAAAUUUUGAAGUAUUAAUUAUUUAGGCCUUACAUGAUCCUUAGGGCGCUGCUCUAGGGUUUGUGUGACCGUGUCACGUGACCAACUCAGGUGCUGAGUUCGGAGUAUGACAGAAUGGUAUCAGAGCCUAGGUUUAAGAAUCCUAGGAUUCAUUUCAAAGAGAGAGUAUAUGGGUAGACUUUUAGAUAGAAAUUAACUAAUAUGAGAUAUUUUCUUAAUUUUUCUAACUAAAGUGAAACUGUGUAGGUUGACAUGGCACGAGGAACUGAGCAUGGGCGUAAUCGGAUACCUACUCGAUUUGCGGAUGGCUCUAAUGCUUGGGAGCCAGCUAUGCAACAAAAAAAUGCUCCACCCUCACCGGUUGAUGAUGCACCACAACAAGAACAUCCUAUUGAGCCUGCCGAGAUCACUCAUAGGGAAGAAACUCCGAGAGAAUCUGAAAUUCAACCUGGGGAACAAGUUACUGCAGCUCAGUUAAUGUAAGUACUAGUUCAACAACAAGUUGCUGCGAGAGAAGAUAUGAGGAGGAUAUUGGAGGUGCAGCAGGGACAACAACAGCAGAUCAUACAACAAAUAUUUCAGGAGCGACAGUCCCAGCAGCAACAAGGAGCUGGAAAUUAGUAUGAACGUCAAAUCAAUUUAUUAGAUUUUAAAAAGUAUGCACCACUGGCAUUCUCAGGGACCUCAGAUCCUAUGGAAGCUGAAAGCUGACUGAAAGCAAUAGAAAAAAUUUUCCAUGCUUUGAGAUGCCCUACUAAGAAUAAGAUCACUUUUGCCACUUUUAUGUUACAAGGUGAGGCAGCCGAUUGGUGGGAGAUGAAAAUUGAAAAAAUGAGGCCAAAUGAUGUACCUUUUACAUGAAAAAAAUUUAGAAAGGUCUUCUAUGAGAAGUAUUUUUCUCAAAAUAUCCGACUCCAAAAAUUUUAAAAGUUCGAUCGACUGGUACAGGGCCACAUGAUAAUUGCUCAAUAUGCGGCCAAAUUUGAAGAAUUGUCGAGAUAUGCCCCUACAUUGAUAGCUGAGAAAAAUAUUCGAGCCAGAAAAUUUGAAAAUGGACUAAGGGAUAGAAUCCAACAAUUAGUGACUGUAUUUGAGCUAUCCACUUAUAAAGAAGUUGUCAACAAAGGCUUAAUAAUAGAAAAAGGACUUAAUGAUGCUCAAGUAGCAAGAGAGAAAAGUAUGAAGAAAAGGGGUUAAGCAAUUGAUUCUCAAGGUCAAAGUAUCAGAGCUUUCAAACCAAAGACCCCCAAAUCAAGCCAGACUACCACUAAAAGUGAAGUACAAUCUCAAGGGAACAUUAUAUGUUACAAAUGUGGAGGAUCCCAUCUUAAACGAGAUUGCACAUGGCCCAGAGGACAAUGUUACAAAUAUGGAUGAGAUAGCCAUAAAGCAAUUGUAUGCCGCAGUGGAGAAAAAUCACAGAGACAGCAGAUGCCUCAAAAUUUUCAAAAUACCCUCGCAAAUCGGACACCCUAAGAUGUACAAAGAUAAGAUGGGGGACAACAAAAAUCAAGAACCCAAGGACGAGUCUAUGCACAUACACAACAGGAUGCUAAUGCUUCUAACUCAGUGGUGAUAGGUACUGAAUCGAUCCCCUAAAUUCUUUUAUAUAUGUCAUAAAAUAUUAUAUGCUUAGAUAUAUAUGGACAUAUAGCCUUGGAUGAUAAAUGAAUAUUAUGUAAAUAUCUAACAGGUAUGAUUAAAAUAGCAUCCAAUGAUGUCUAUACUCUAUUUGACCCUGGAGCUACCCACUCUUUUAUAUCAACUAGUUUUAUUAAGAGAAACAAUAAGAUGUCUCCUGCACCUUUAGAAAAUGAUCUUUGUGUCUGCAUGCCAAGUGGAAAGGUGAUAUUGGUUAAUUCAAUUUGCAAAGAUUGUAUACUGAGUAUUGAAGAUAGAAAGAUGAAAGUAGACUUAUUAGUCUUAGAGAUGAAGGACUUUGAUCUAAUCCUGGGGAUGGAUUGGUUAGCAGCAUAUCAUGCUACAGUUGAUUGCUUCAAAAAUACAAUAAAGUUUCAAAUUUUGGAUCAGUCAGAGUUUAGUUUUAUGAGUAAUAAACCCUUCUUUAUCUCAGCUAUUCGUGCUAAGAGGCUCCUUAUGAAAGGAUGUGAAGGAUUUCUUGCCACUAUAUUAGAUACUCAAGAUAAGAAACUCAAGUUAGAGGAUAUCCCUAUUGUGAAAGAAUUUUUUAAUAUUUUUUCAGAUGAUCUAUCUGGAUUACCUCCUGAUCGAGAGAUUGAGUUUUCUAUUGACUUGAUCCCUGGUACGAGUUCAGUUUUUAAAGCCCCUUAUCAAAUGGCUCCAGCAGAAUUGAAGGAGUUACAAAAGCAAUUACAAGAGUUGUUGGACAAAUGAUUCAUUAGACCUAGUGUAUCACUUUGGGGAGCUCCAAUACUUUUUGUGAAGAAGAAAGAUGGUAGCCUUCGACUUUGCAUAGACUAUUGAGAAUUAAAUAAGGUAACAGUACGAAAUAAAUAUUCUUUACCACGAAUCGAUGAUUUGUUCGAUCAGUUGCAAGGGGCACAGGUCUUCUCAAAAAUUGAUCUUCGUUCUGGCUACCAUCAAUUGAAGAUACAGUCUGGAGAUAUAUCAAAAAUAGCCUUUCAGACUAGAUAUGGGCAUUAUGAGUUUUUAGUCAUGCCCUUUGGUUUGACUAAUGCACCGACAGCCUUCAUGAAUCUUAUGAAUCGAGUGUUUGCAUCAUACUUAGAUCGAUUUGUAGUUGUAUUUAUUGAUGAUAUUUUGAUUUACUCAAAAAGCUCACUCGAGCAUGAAGAGCAUCUGAGGAUUGUAUUACAAACUCUGAGGAGAAAGAAGCUGUAUGCAAAGCUACAAAAAUAUGAAUUUUGGCUAAACAGUGUUACUUUCCUCGGGCAUAUCAUCUCCAAGGAUGGUGUUUCAGUUGACCCAAAGAAAGUGGAGGCAGUAGUCGACUGGAGCUGACCUACUAAUGUAUAAGAGGUGCGUAGCUUUUUAAGGUUGGCUGGCUACUAUCGAAGGUUUAUGGAAGGUUUCUCUUGUAUUGCCAUGCCCCUAUCUCAUCUAACACAGAAACAAGUAAAGUUUGAAUAGACAGAUGAAUGUGAGCAAAGCUUUCAAGAGUUAAAAAGAUAAUUAGUGACUGCUCCGAUUUUAACUAUUCCAUCCGAAAUAGAAGGUUUCACUAUCUAUAGCGAUGCUUCUCGUAAAGGUCUCGAUUGUGUUCUGAUGCACAAAGAAAAGGUGAUAGCUUAUGCCUCUCGACAAUUGAAGUCAUAUGAGCGAAAUUAUCCUACUCAUGACUUAGAAUUAGUAGCUGUGGUUUUUGCUUUAAAAAUAUGAAGGUAUUAUUUAUAUGGAGAGCAUUACAAGAUUUUCACGGAUCAUAAAAGUUUAAAAUAUAUUUUUACUCAGAAGGAGUUAAAUUUGAGACAAAGAAGGUAGUUGGAGCUAUUGAAGGACUAUGACUUGACAAUAAAUUAUCAUCCCAGAAAGGCGAAUGUUGUAGCCGAUGCUCUAAGUAGAAAAUCUUUUGUUGAAUUGGAUGCUCUAAUUACCUCACAAAAGCCUAUAUUGCUAGAUUUGGAGAAAUCAGGAAUUGAAAUACGACUACAUGAUCUUCAAGCUCAACUUGCAAAUCUUGUACUACAGCCUACUUUGAUUGAAAGGAUUAAGGUAGCUCAAAAGGAGGAUUCAGAGUUACAAAAGGUCAUAGAAGCAGUGGAAUCCGGUAUACAAAUAGAAUUUUGGAUACAUGAGGAUGGGUUAUUAAGGUUUGAUAACAGACUAUGUGUUCCCAAGGUUUCAGGAUUAAGGGACGAGAUCCUGGAGGAGGCUCAUUAUUUGGCUUACACCAUGCAUCCUGGAAGCGCAAAAAUGUAUCAAGAUUUGAAAAAAAACUUUUGGUGGUCUGGUAUGAAAAGGGAUAUUGCACAAUUUGUAGCCCAAUAUUUGGUAUGUCAACAAGUAAAAGCCAAACAUCAAAGACCAGUAAGACCAUUACAGUCUCUUCUUAUUCCUCAGUGAAAAUAGGAGUAUUAUACUAUAGAUUUUGUGACUGGGUUACCUAAAACACUUCAGAAUAAUAAUGCUGUAUAGGUAAUUAUUGACCGAUUGACGAAAUCAGCAUAUUUCUUAUCCUUUCAAAUUGGUCUUUCCUUAGAAAGAUUGGCAGGCUUGUAUAUAGAGCAGAUAAUACGACUGUAUGGAGUACCAGUUACUAUUGUGUUAGAUCGAGAUAGUAGAUUUGUUUCUCAGUUUUGGAAGAGCCUUCAUAAAGCCCUCGGUACCAAGUUAAAUUUUAGUACAGUUUUUUAUCCUCAAACUGACGGACAAUCAGAACGAACCAUAAAAAUCCUAGAGGAUAUGUUAAGGGCUUGUGUCAUGGACCUGGGCGGUGCAUGGGAUAAUCACUUAUCAUUGGUUGAGUUUGCUUAUAAUAAUAGUUACCAAGCAAGCAUUCAGAUGGCUCUUUUCGAGGUAUUAUAUGGAAGGAAGUGUAGAUCGUCCAUUUGUUGGGAUGAGGUGGGAGAAAGAAAACUGUUGGGACCAGAAAUAGUGCAACAGACGGUGAAAAAAGUACACAUGAUACAGGAACGACUUCGUACAGUUCAGAGCAAAGAGUUAUGCUGAUAAUAAAAGAAGGGAGAUAGAAUUUCAAGUAGGCAAUCAUGUUUUUCUGAGAGUUUCUCCCACUAAAGGUAUCAUGAGAUUUGGAGUUCGUGAUAAGUUGAGUCCAAAGUAUAUUGGCCCUUUUGAAAUUUUAGACAUGAUUGGAGAGGUUGCAUAUCAAUUAGCGUUACUGCUGACUUUAUCUGGNNNNNNNNNNNNNNNNNNNNNNNNNNNNNNNNNNNNNNNNNNNNNNNNNNNNNNNNNNNNNNNNNNNNNNNNNNNNNNNNNNNNNNNNNNNNNNNNNNNNNNNNNNNNNNNNNNNNNNNNNNNNNNNNNNNNNNNNNNNNNNNNNNNNNNNNNNNNNNNNNNNNNNNNNNNNNNNNNNNNNNNNNNNNNNNNNNNNNNNNNNNNNNNNNNNNNNNNNNNNNNNNNNNNNNNNNNNNNNNNNNNNNNNNNAGAGAUUGUAACGGCCCAGGUUCUUGGGCCUGUAAACCCUUGACGGUCCAAUGAAAAAAAAAGAAUGAAAAAUUAACAGAAGGAGGAAGACUCCUAAUCAGAGUCUUCUUCCUCUCCGUUUUCGAUGAAAUCAGACUCGAAGAGUCUAGCUAGGGUAGAAGAUCUUCCCUAUAAAGACCCCUCUUCCCUCCCUUAGGACCUUACAACAAAAUUUCGAAGAAAUAAAAGGGAUAUUUUCAAAAGAGAGAGCCGUGAGCGGUUGAUUAGAAGAGAGGGGCCGCCAGAGCUAUUUUUAGCCGCUGAAACAAUGUAUGUUUCUUCUCCCUUCUUUUCGGAUUGAUCUUUUCAGCCAUCGGUGUGCUUGGAAGCCGGCAAGAUGCCGGUUUGGGCUCAAACAGGGCACCCUUAUUUGUGUUGUUUCUCUCCUUCCAUCGCCGACAGCAAGGACAAGUGGGGCUGCUAUUGGGACGGUAGCCUCGCUGCCGUCGAGGUUGCCGAGGAGGGUGGCCGGAGAUGGCCUACCCUGGCCGUGGGAAAGAGAGGCAUUCGGGAUGGGGGUCGGGUCUCCUGCUUUGAUCGUGGGAAAGAGGAGAAGAAAUCUCUUCUCUCUUCUUAAAAUAAAAUUAAAAAUAAUAAUAAUAAUAAUUAAAAAAAAUUAAGACACAGGUAAGGGUUCCGAUAAACCUUAAUAUAUGAUUUUUUUUAAAAAUUUAAUUUGGUUAAAUUGAUUUAUUUGAUAGGAGAAUAGUCUAACGAAUAGGAGGACAACGAGUAGGGUUUUGAUAUUCAGACUGUAAGGCUGUGAGUUUGAUUUCUCAUUGAUCGAGGUAAGAAUUCUGUACAUGAUUAUCACCAUAUAUGUUAUUUGUUCAUUAGUUUUAUGAUGUUGAUUUUGUAUUACUGGAUUUAUGAUCGAUGAGUUUUCUAUGCUUGAGACAUCGAUAUAUGGCUUAUAUGAUUCUUUUUAAAUAUAAGCAUGUUAUGAAAAGAUUUCUAUGAUUGAUGGUAUGAGUCUAAUGAAUAUGACUUAUCAAUUUGAUCAUCCUGUAAUUUAAAAUUAAUUCGAUGAAAUCAAUAAUUAAAUAAAAAAGAUAUGGUUUGGACUAGCCUCGACAUAUGGAUCAGCCGGCCAAGAGCUCAUGCCUGGGACAGUCCGCAGGAGCUUAUGCCUGGGACAGCCCCCACUGACUUAUAGGUGGAUCAGCCGGUUAGGAGCUCAUGUCUGGGACAGCCCGCCAGGAGCUUAUGCCUGGGACAGCCUCUCACGGACUUUCGUACGUGGGACAGCCGGCCAGGAGCUCAUCCUGGGAUAGCCUUGAAAGGCUUAUAUGAAAAGAAAAAUUGGAUUGGAAAGAGAUUGAGGUAUGGUCUCGAUUAGUCUAAAGCCAAAAGGGAUAAAAGAUUGUCAAACCGAAGAUGUGAAAAGAUGAAACAUAUAACAUGUAAUUCAAGAAUGAAUGAAAACUUCACUUGGUGAUAUGUGAUGAUCCAUAUUUAUUAAAUGCAUGUUCAUGUCAAUAUUCGAGUUAUUAUAUAUGUAUCAGUCUUCACAAAAUUGUAUUAGUUUUAAAAAUAUUAAUUUUAUCUAAUGGCUUGAUGUACAUGUGCAGUGAUUCUUACUGAGUUGGAGAUGCUUAUAUUUGCUUCUUAUUUUUUUUUCAGACUCACAAGAUGCUUAGUCUGGAAGGUUUGGACGAGAGCAAAUAAGAACUGAAGCCUUUAGUAAUUCAGUUAGUUUAAAUUCUCUGAUACCAAUGAACAUUUGAAUAAUUGUGUUGAGCAAAGUUUAUUUUUGAUUUGAAGUUGUGACUCGGUUGAUUUAUUUGGUAUUUACUUGAUGAUUUAAAAUUUUGAAGUAUUAAUUAUUUAGGCCUUACAUAAUCCUUAGGGCGCUGCUUUAGGGUUUGUGUGACCGUGUCACGUGGUCAACUCAGGUGCUGGAUUUGAGGCGUGAUAGUUACCAACUUGAAGGUGAGUAGUUUUAUAUACUCAUAAAUUCCUCCAUUUUGCAUUCUACGAUUAACGCUUGAAGAUCUUCUUCCUCAAAUAUUUUAACUAUAUAAAUUUUUGAUUAUUUAUUUGAAAUAAUAGUAGUGCUAACUACAUCAUCAUUCUUGAAAAUUAAAAAAAGUUAAAUGGAUGAAUAAAAUAAUUAUCUUCACUUUUACAUCCCCAUGUGAGGUGCUAUUCCAAUAUAUUCUCACUGGACGUUAAUACAGAUACGUGCGACGAUUUGAGUUUUGGGGCCGCUAGGAUCGUGAAAAGGGAUAUUAUACUGUUGGUAUCUAGAUUGUGAAGAAUCUUAAAAUUUUUUUUGGUUUGGCUUCUUUUCUUUUGAUCAAGCUUUUGCGCAACUAUAGCUUUUGAGAAUCUUAAUAUUUUUGGGCUCUUCAUAAUAUGAUUUUCAUUUUUUUUUAAAAUGAGACGUUUUAAUAAGAAACCUAGAAAUUAUAUGCUAUCUGAACAUAUCUGUGAUAUGACAAGAUGUUAAUUGCAGCUUUGAUAUUUAUACUUAUUUACCUCUUAUUUUAUUAAGGAAGUUCUUGACAAAAGCAUUUAAAUAUUAUCACUUCUCAUAAUAAAAAAGACGAAGAUUAUAAAACGCGGUAUCUCAAAAUAAAUGGAUCAACUAAUAGUCUAAAAAUAUGGACAGGAUGUGAUAAUUUAGUGUUUCGGUUUAUGUUUUGUCUAGUUUUCCUUCUCAAGUUUUCGUAGUUUACAAUAUUGAACGUCACAUUGUUGAUAAGCAUACGAAUGAUAUCCAAAACAAAAUGGAGUUGGAAACGUAAGAAAAAGUUCAUCCACACGGCCAUGAUUCAUUGUUGCUGGCCAGAGGUUCCCAGUUCCCAUCAUGUCCUCAUUUCCAAGCAAAAUUCUUUGUACACCAUUUGCAGUAUAGAAAAUCUGAUGUAAAGUGCACCACCUCAUUCGAUUAGACCACAUUGUUACUGCUUUCCAAUGCACACUUAAUAUCCGCAAUUCUACUUUUUUGUUUGAAAUUUUGAAUAACAAAAAUGUCUCUUUCCUUCUAAAAAAAUUAUGACAUCCUGUGUCGAUAUUAUAACAUUUUACAUAAAAAUUAUAACUUUUUGCAUAUAAUGUCAUAAUUUUUCACAGCAUGUCAUAAUUUUGAUAUGGAUAUUUUUAUCAUUGAAAAUUUUUAAAAAUUUAUAUAAAAUUUUCAAUGACGAAAAUGAUUUUCUCCCUUUAUGAUAUCUUGUGAAAAAAUUAUGACAUUCUGUAAGGAAGUCAUAAUUUCAAUGUAGGAUAUCAUAAUAUCGGCACAGAAUAUCAUAAUUUUUUCAAAAAAAAUAUUUUUAUCAGUCAAAAUUUUAAAUAAAAAAAUAAAAUUAUAAAUAUUAAAUAUGUAUUGGAAAGUGGUGGCUAUGUAGUUUGAUCGGAUAAAAUGGUGUACUCCACGUCAGAUUUUCUAUACCAUGGGCGGUGUACAAAGAAAUUCUCCAUUCAAAAAAUCAGGGCAACGAGUGCAACUUUUGGUAUUUGUCAGUACUCUGGUCACUUUAAUGCUGCUAUUUUCUUAUUACGUAGUUAUAAUAGCAUGUGAUUUUUUUUUUUAUAUUUAUCGAUAGGCGAAAUUCUUUAUGCACUGCCUACAGUGUAGAAAAUUUGAUGUAGAGUGUACCGCUUUAUUCUAUUAGACUAUAUGGUCGCUGCUUUUCAAUGCGUAUUUAAUGUCCGUAGUUUUACUUUUUCGUUUGAAAUUUGGAAUGACGAAAAUACCCCUUUCCUUUCGAAAAAAUCAAAACAUCUUGUGCUGAUAUUAUGACAUCCUGCGUUGAAAUUAUGAUCUUCUGUACAGAAUAUCAUAAUUUUUUUACAGGAUGUCAUAAAAGAAGAAUAUUUUUGUUAUUAAAAAAUUAAAUUAUGAUUUUCUACACAGGAUGUCAUAAUUUUUUCACAGGAUGUCAUAAAGAGAGAAAGGUAUUUUCGUCAUUAAAAUUUUUUUUCAAUUUUUCAAUGAUGAAAAUAUCCUUCUCUCUUUAUGAUAUCUCAUGAGAAAAUUAUGACAUCCUAUGCAGAAAAUUAUAAUUUCAAUACAGUAUGUCAUAAUAUCAGCACAGGAUGUCAUAAUUUUUUUGAAAGAAAAAAAAUAUUUUCAUCAUUCAAAAUUUUAAAUAAAAAAAUAUAAAUAUAAAUAUUAAAUAUAUAUUAAGAAAUGAUGAUUACAUGAUCCAAUAAGAUGAAAUAGUGUAUUUUACGUUAGAUUUUCUACACGGGCGAUGCAAAAAGAAUUUCUCUUUCCGAUCGCUUUCAUUUUAAAGGCCAGAAAAUACACUAGAGUUGGAAUACUCUUACAAACCCACACCUGAGCUAGACCCAUACAGAUAAAUCUGUAACUGCAAGACUGUGCUAUACAUAUCAUAAGUCUUAUUGGACUCACAAGUUUGUACUUGUACAUUAACUUGCAUACUACAUAAAGAUCAUUAAUAGACGAAAAAAGCAUUCCAAGUAUAAUAAUUACCUAAAUGGAUUGACUAGGAAAAUUUAUUUAAACUCAUAAGAAAUGUUACACUUGCUUCUCGAAACAUCUCUGAUUAAUGGCUAUCAUCUCAAUGAUAGGUAUCAAGAGUUUGACUUAUUAUUAUUAUUAUUAUUAUUAUUAUUAUUAUUAUUAUUAUUAUUAUUAUUGUUAUUGUUGUUGUUGUUGUUGUUGUUGUUGUUGCUGUUUAAAAUUAUUUAAAUAAUAGAUUUGCUUCACAUCAAAAAGUUUAGCUUUAAGGCAGUGAUGGCAUUUUGAGUUCUAGAACAACUUCUAUGCCACCAACUUUUUGUUAGAAAAUACGUCUCAAGAUUCGUUCCACACUGAGCCCAUAGCGAGGUCCAGAACGACGAACAAAGUCCAACGAGUUCAAGAACAGUCCAAAUGGAGUCCAGACGGCGAAAAUACGCACGAAAGAAGCUCGAAACAGCGGCACAGAUCAUGAGGUGUCGGAGGCUGGCGGUGGCACAGGCGGGCCCGACGGACACGCAUGCGCACGAGUGUGUGGCCCAGCACAGGCACGCACUGAAACACGCACGGCCGACCCAACGGGCGCGUGGGCGCCCAGGCCCAGCACCCUGUGCAGUCCACCGUGGAUUGCAGGGUGCUGGGUGGUCCAUGGCCGUGGUGGAUCACGUGGUCCACGCAUGAUCCAUGGAUAAAUUUAUACGAUCCAAUGGCUCUGGAGCAAACCAUUCAUGAUCGGAUGGCUAAAGAUAACUCCGGACGUGAUUAGGCUUGAUCUGAGGCUGUAGUGUGCGAUCAGACGGUUCUGGUGUGAGCCGAUCACGAUCGGACGGUCACGGAUGAUUAUAGGAUUGAUUGGGACUUAGUAUUCCUAGUAUGAUAGUAUUUUUGAGAUUCUGGAGCCUAUAUAGCUCCGAUUGACGAGUCAUUUAUCGCGUUGGAUAGCUGAUGACGUUUUGAAGGUGCAGAAAGACUUCAAGAGAGGUUUCAGAGAGAUUUUAUGAGGAUUUUGAGACUUCUUGUUGAAAGACUCUUGUACAAAGGUUGAGUGAUAAAUUGCUCUUGUAUUGAUUGUGUUUUAUCCUCUCACUGUGAAGCUUGCAUGCCCUAUAAAGAUAGACUUGAGAGUGAUCGAUGUAUUUAGAUUAUUUUUUUUUCUUACUAUACCGCAUGGUAGCGGAUCCUGCAUAAUACUUUUUUUUUUAAUUUUUUCCUGAGGAAAGGCAUUCGGCAAGCCCAAGCUACCAAUAUUUUUAAAUUAUUCCAAAACCGCAUGAAUCGGAUAAGAUGGAAUCACCACCCAUCACCUGACAAGAAUCGGGUGAGUUGGGGCGCAUGGCAUGCAUUAUUGCCGACGUGGACCUCACUGGCCCCCAUAUAUUGAUGCCAGGUAUCCACUGCUUAAUUGCUUCAUCGCUGCAGAAUGCUUACAGUAGUUCAUUCAUCGCUGCAGUUAGCCCGUCUUGGGCCUAUAAAUAGCCUUAACAUAUAUUGCCGGUCUUCAGUCCCAUAGCCAUCAAAUCCCUCAUCUCCUUGUAGUGAAUUUUAGUAAUUCUCAAACCACCAUGGUACAUCACAGCUCCAUUUUUUUUAAUCCUGAUUCCAGCCAUCCGCCGGCUGUUCCAAUGACUGACCAAGAGUUCAAGCACGGGGUCCGGCGUGUCGACCUCAAUGGGGAUGGUCGCAUCAGUGCGCAAGAGCUGAAACAAGCACUCCAUGAUCUUGGAAUAAAUAGGGCGACACUGAAGGUGUGGUUGGCUGUGUUCAGGAACGACCUCAACCACAACCAUUGCAUCGAUGGUGAAUUGGAGAUUAAGAAGUUGAGAGAUGUUGCGGUCAAUCUCCUACCACCUAUCAUCAGUGAAGAGCACUUGCAAGAUAAAAUCCUCAUAGGCUGGAGUUGUAUCCGACGGGGAUCUUCCGAUGCUUAAGUCAGAGAGGAGACUGGUGAACAGCAGAUAAAGAUUGUUUAGACUGACAAAGUAUUAGCCCAGAAUUUUCUUUACCCGUGCUGCUCGUUUAUGUCUCCUUUUAUACAUGAUUCUGAUGUAACCGUCGAGUACGUGAUCAUGCUUUUUAUGGUGCUGAAUUAUCAAGCCAUAAUCGUGGAGUUAAUGGGUUGUUUAUGCCUACUAAUGACCGUGACACAUAGUCGAUAAUCAUUUAAAACGAUUAGGUGUGUUAUGAAAAUAAGCCGACUAUAUGUCGGUAAUAGUGAUAAGUCGCUAAUCUUGGAGAUCCGAAUGAGCAUCGAUCGGUAACUCUGAUUCUGAUAUACCGAUAGUCUUCGGUUGGAGAUUAACUAAGUUCUGUUGUUGGUUAAUAAUAGCCGACUGUCGGUCGGUCAGUCGAUUGUGAGUCGACGUAAUGUGUUCAUGCGGCUGAUAUAGAGUCGGAGUCGGGGAUCGGUUGACUUGUCCCAGCCCCCCACUCCCAAGUCCAAGGUAGUCCGACGUGUAUAUUAUCACAUGAUCUGUCACGUUGGACGAAGGGAGUCGUCAUGUGUUGCCUCGAGCUCCGACUUGGCUGCUAAUCUUUAUGAUUUUUUUGGAGUACGAGAAAUCUUCAGUUGUUUUGUCAUUUCGGUAGUUGCGAAAUCAUUAUUGGGCUGUUAUUUCGAUGGGAUAAUUCGGCAUCGGAUGUCGUUUCAGGAAGAUAAUUCAGCGUCAGACGAUAUAAUUCUGACUAGUUGAUCUUGAUCACGUGUCCGAACAUCAUUAGGUCAGAGCUGUUCAUGCAGAUAAUGGUGAGGUGGCACAAUCAAGAGCAGGUGCGUCGAACCGUCCGAUCAAUGGUCGGUCCGGAUGUUGCCACGCAUCGUCAUUUGAUGAGAUUUAGAUUUGACUAAUUUCAUCUAGACCAUUGAAGGAUCCUAUAUAUAUAGGAUCGCUUUCGGCCAAACUUUUACUUUGCAUUUUUAUCAUCAUCCUCUGCUGCGGAAGUUCUGUCGGAAGAUCGCCCCAGUACCGGAGAGCUCCAGGCUUCUCUUCUCCGCCCCCUUUUUAGCUUUCAGAUCAAGUGUUCUUGUCCUUUUUGGAUCUGUCUCCUUUUUAAGUUUUCGUUUUAGGAUUUUUUCUAGUUUCCUUUGUUCAUGGCAAGGGCUUCUUCUUCUUGAGAUAAUCGGGAAAUCUGACCGACGAAUCUCCAUCAGAUCCAAAAGUGGAAGCUUCUUCUCUAUCCGAACUUAAUGUUGAAUGGCUCUGAGAGCAAUAUCGUAUCCCGAAGCAGUAUCAACUCUUCGCUCUUGACUCCGAUGGUCGGGUGAACUCCCCUCCUCCGGAUCAUGUUACCUUCUAUGUCGAAGACAUUCGGAUCGGCCUACGAUUUUCGAUUCUGAAGUUUGUCCGAAAUUUUUUUGAUUACUACGGUCUUUGCCCUGCUCAAUUAGCACCGAACUCUGUUCGGCUGAUAAUUAGUUUUGCUUUACUGUGUCGGCUAAUACCGACUGAGCCUCGUCCUUCUCUUUUUCAUACUUUGUUAAUUCUUUGAUCUCAUCCUAAGGCCAAAGGUUGGUGGUUUUUCAACCCGAGAAAAGAUUUUUCUUUCAUCAUCGAUCUUCCAUCGUCCAUUCAUGGAUGGAAGAACCAAUUCUUUUUUGUUUCUUCUUCUCCUUCCUGGGGCUUUUCUUCAUGCUGGGGUGAUCCAAGGACCGACCCCAACGAGAAUAGUCGGACGGAGGUCGACGAUUGGGAAGAUUUUCAUCGACUGAAGAAUAUGACAGUUUCACCGCAGAGAGAGCUGAUGACCAAACAAGCUCUUUACGAUGUCGGCCUUAGUUCGAUCACCUCCUUAGAUAUAGCAUAGUUGAUCACUUUCAUUUUUUGUUUGUUUGCUUCUGAACUAUACUGAUUUCUUCGUUCUGAUUGCAGCUAUGCAGUCGAAGACACGAGUAUCGAUCGUUGAUAUUCGUCAGCAUGCUGCCAAAAAGAAGGCAGCAUCUGAAGCUGGACCCUCCCGACCGUCAAAGAAAAGUCAGGUAGUUCCUCCAUCUGCACCGGUGAGAAAAUCCGACACACCAUUGGCAUCGGUUCUUGAGCCAAUUUUGGCAUUAUCCAUUGAAGAUGGGACGGCAGAAGAAGACAAAGCUACAGCAGUACCAUCAGCGGCUCCACCAAUAAAAGUUCGGACCGUGGUAGAAGUCAUGAUGUUGUUGGAACGAUCAACAGCUGCGUCGGUCGUUCCUCUAGCGAAAUCCUCUCGGGCGCAGUCGAGCUCUGAUUUUUCGACAUUCUCAAGUGCGGGGCUGCCGAUAGGAGAUUGGGAGAAGGCAUCGACGACUUCGAUAGAUGAUGGUUCGUCGGCAAGCCACUCGAUUCUUUUUGACAUCCGAGUUUCUGAGGGUGAGUCGGCCUUGGCCAAUUCGAUAUUGGCCAAGCGGCUCAUCCAAGCCACUCUUCUCCCGACUGAUCGGGAGAACAGAAAGAAUCGAACUGUAGCCGAGAUGUUCUCUUCUUUUUAUCCAAUGAUACUCGGAGUAACUUCUUCAACAUAUAUAUAUAUAUAUAUAUAUAUAUAUAUAUAUAUAUAUAUAUUAUUAUUUAUUCUNNNNNNNNNNNNNNNNNNNNNNNNNNNNNNNNNNNNNNNNNNNNNNNNNNNNNNNNNNNNNNNNNNNNNNNNNNNNNNNNNNNNNNNNNNNNNNNNNNNNNNNNNNNNNNNNNNNNNNNNNNNNNNNNNNNNNNNNNNNNNNNNNNNNNNUAUAUAUAUAUAUAUAUAUAUAUAUAUAUAUAUAUAUAUAUAUAUGUAUAUUUUUUAUCUGAUCUGACUUGGUUCAUCUUCUGCUUUUAGUGGGCUCAUGACAUACAUGACCUGGAGGUCAGCUAUCAGAAGAUUGCUGACUUCCAUCGACAUGGAUGGAUAAAGUGGUGGCCGCCAAUACUGAGAAGACGGCUGCCCUUGAACAACUUCAAGCGGUGAUUGAGCGAGAGGCAAAGCUUCAGGAAGAAGUCUCCUGCUUAACCGCUGUUCUCCAAUCUUUUGGAGCCAAACUUGAGUCGGCUCGUCAAAAUAUUUCAUCUCUUGAGCUGCAGACCAAGAGCAAGAAGCAUUCAUAUUGGCAUAGUAUUCCACUUAAUUAGAACCAAGUCAGCAUAAUAGUUGUUCGACUAGAGUCAGCUUUUACAGUGAAAAGUUGAGAUAUAGUUGGUAUCGAGAUACAGUCGAUAUUUUGGCUUUUACAGUGAAAGUUGAAAUAUAAUCGAUGUAUCGACUUCUACAGUGAAAAAUCAAAAUAUAGUCGAUAGGAGCUGACCAUCCAUCUAUCGAUUUAAAAUCACUUUGUAGUUGGUCGAAACUUUUAUGAUUUUGAAAUUCAAUAUUUCAUUCUAAAUACUGUACAUAUAAAUAACUUUAUUGAUAAUACAUUUUUAAGUUGUCAGCAUUCUACAUUCGAGGAAUAGCUGCUCCCUCAAGAGUUUUCACCCGAUAUACAUCCGGUCUAAAUAUUUUGGUUAUUCUGUAAGGUUCUUUCCAAUUCGGAGAUAAUUUUUUUUUGAUCUAAAGAUUUUAAAACUUCCACUUUCCUUAAGACCAGAUCUCCUGAACGAAAGAUCUUUGGCUUAACUUUUGCAUUAUAAUAUCGGGCUACUCUUUAUCGAUAUGCUACCAUCCGAACUUGAGCUUGCUGUCGGACUUCUGAAAGUAAGUCAAGAUCAGCUCUCUGACAUUCUGAAUUGCUUGGCUCAUUGUAUUAUUCCACCCUUGCCGAUGGUAAUCCGAUCUCAAGUGGGAUCAUCGCUUCUGUUCCAUAAGCCAAAUUGAAUGAUGAUUCUCUCAUUGGUAUACGUGGAGUUAUUCGAUAAGUCCACAAGAUCGGAUAUAAUUCCUCCACCCAAAGGUCUUUAGCUUCAUUCAGUCUGGUCUUGAGUCCAUACAGAAUUGUUCGAUUUGUUACCUCCACCUCUUCGUUGGAUUAUGGAUGACCGACUGAUGUGAGUUUGUACAUAAUGUAAAAUUUCGUACAGAACUCUUUGAAGUUUUGAUUAUCGAAUUACCGAUCAUUAUUAGUGAUGAUGGUGUGUGGUAGAUCAAAUUUGCAUAUGAUUGAUUUCUGAAUGAAGUCUUCCAUCUUACUCUCAGUGAUUUAUGCCAGAGGUUUAGCUUCUACCCAUUUGAUGAAGUAAUCAAUGGCGACCACUGUAAACUUUCUCUGACCAGAUGCCGAAGGAAAAGGACCAAGUAUGUUAAUUUUUUAUUGUGUGAAGGGUCAUGGUGCAACAAUUGAUGUCAACUGACUGGUCGGUUGGUGUUGUAUACUUGCAUAUUUCUAACUGGUUCACACCUUCAGAUGAGCUCAGCUGCAUCUUUCUUCAUGGUGGGCCUAUAAUAUCCUUGUCGAAGGACUUUGUAAUCUAGAGAUUUGCCCCCCAAGUGAUUUUCAUAAAUUUCUUCAUGAACUUCUCUGAGUGCAUAGUCGGCAUCUGUCGGUCCCAAACACUUCAGUAAGAAAAAAGAGAACGACCUCUUGUGUAAUUGACCAUUCAUCAAAAUAUAUUGUGAAGCUGUCUAUCUGAGUCGUUUGGCUUCUGAGAGAUCCGUAGAGAGAGUUCCAUCUGUCAAGUAUUGGACAAUCGGAUCCAUCCAGCUUGGUUCAUCAGUGAUUUAUAGCACUUCCUUGACUUUAUCAAUACUCGACUGUUCAAGGCAUUCGACGAAUGUCCGACCCAACAAGUUGAAAGAAGUGGUUGCAAGUCACGAAAAUACAUUGGCACGAGCAUUUUCUAUCCUUGGGAUGUGAAAGAUCUCAAAAUAGUUUAAGAUUGAUGUAAGAUCCUUCACUUUCUGAAGAUACUUCAUCAUAAUGGGGUCUCAAGCUUCAAACUCGCUCUUAACCUGUUCAGCAAUCAAUUGUGAGUCAGUGAAAACCUUCAGGCUAUCGAUAUCAAGCUCCUUGAUAAUUUUUAAGCCGGUUAAGAGUGCUUCAUAUGCAGUUUGGUUAUUCAAAGCUUUAAAAUUGAAUCGAAAGGCAUAUUCAGUAAUAACUCUUUCAAAAUUGAUGAGGAUGAGACCGGCUUUAUUGUCCUGUGCAUUAGAUGCUCCAUCAAUAUACAGCACCCAUGCCAAUGUUAAGUUAGGUUCGGGAGCCACGGCUUGCUUUAUUUUAUCGUUGGCUUCAUCCUCGGGUUUAUUAUCAGGUAUUGUACACUCGACAAUGAAGUCGGCCAAAACUUACGUCUUCAUUGAUGGAUGUGGAUGAUAUUGUAAAUCAAAUUCGUCAAGCUUUAUUAUCCACUUUGCCAUUCAACCCGACGUACCAAGUUGGUGUAAUAUUACCUUCAACGGCUGAUCUAUCGAGAUGACACUAGAGUGUGCUUGGAAAUAUGGGUGAAGUCGUUAUGAUGAUAUGAUUAAAGCGUAGAUCAUUUUCUCCACUCUUGAAUAUCUUACUUAGACAUUAUGAAGUACCUUGCUAGUGUAAUAGAUUGAUUGUUGAAUUUGAUUUUUAUCUUCCUAGAUAAGUACCGAACUAACCGCCUCUAUCGAUGUUGCUAAGUAGAGGUACAAAAUUUCUUCGACCUUUGGUUUUGCAAGCAGCAGUGGAGAUGUUAAAUAUCUUUUUAGAUCUUUAAAGGAUUGUCGAUACUCGUCUAACCAUAUGAAGUCAUUUGAUUGCCUCAAGGUCUUGAAAAAAGGCAACCAUCUUUUUGCCGACCUUGAUAUGAAUCGACUAAAUGCGGUGAUUCUUCUGUUGAGCUGUUGUAUCUCUUUCUUGAAGCUAGGAUGCUUCAUAUUGAUGGUAGCCUUUAUUUUCUCAGGAUUGGCCUCGAUUCCUCAUUGUGAUAUAAGAAAUCUGAGAAACUUCUUAGAAGUUACUCCGAUCGUACACUUUGUCGGGUUCAACUUCAUCUGAUGUCGUCGAAGUGUACUGAAGACUUCUUUCAGAUCCUGAAUAUGAUCAGUAGUUUGAGAAUUUUUCACCAGCAUAUCAUCCACAUAUACUUUCAUACUUUGCCCGAUCUAUGUCUUGAAGAUUUUAUUGACUAACCGUUGAUAUGUGGCUCCAGUAUUUUUUAAACCGAAAGGUAUUACUUUAUAGCAGUAGAUGCCUUUGUCGGUUACGAAGGCUGUGUGCUCCUUAUCUUCGGAUGCCAUCUGAAUCUGAUUGUAGCCUGCAAAGACAUCCAUGAAGCUUAAGAGUCGGUGCUCCGAAGUUGCAUCAACUAGUUGAUCAAUCUUCAGCAAAAAAAAAUUAUCCUUCAAACAAGCUUCAUUUAGAUUUAUGUAGUCGAUACAGAUUCUCUAUUUUUUAUUGGCCUUUCUCACCAUCACUACAUUGGUGAGCCAAUUGGGAUAAGUAGCUUCUCUGAUGAAGCCAACUGCGAGGAGCUUGUCGACUUCUUCAUCGAUGACCUUCUGCCUUUCAGGAGCAAAAAGCCAUUUCUUUUAUCUCACUGGCUUAACCUUUGGAUCAAUAUUUAGCCGAUGGAUUAUUACUUCCGGAGGAAUGUCUGGCAUAUCAGUAGCCGAUCAAGCAAAAAUAUUGAUGUAUGAUCUGAGUAAGUUUAUUAGCUGCUGCCAUUCUAGAUCAGGCACCUGCGAUGCAAUUUGGACCAUCUUCUCAGGAUCCUCUUCUUUUAGUGGGAUGGAAACCAGUUGUUCGGCUAGUUCAUCCCUUUCUUUAUUCUCUCUUUAGUCUAAUUUAUCGACAGACAAAGAGUCUUCAGAUUAAUUAUUUUGUGUGAAAUCUAAAAAGCAACGUCGGAUAAGUUGUUGAUCUCCACACAUCUCUCUAACUCUAUUUUUUAUCAAAAAUUGAACUAGUAAAUGAUAAGUCGAGACUACUGCCCUCAAAGCAUUCAAUCCAGGUCAUUCGAAUAUGGCAUUAUAAGUCGAAGGAACUCGAAUAACCAUGAAUGUCACGAGAAUAGAAUUCUAUUAUGGUUUAGUUCCUACGAUUAAUGGGAGAGUGAUUUCUUCCUCUACAGUGACUGCAUCUCCUGUAAAACCAAUCAAUGACAUCGAGACUCUUCUAAGUCGAUCAGUCGGUAGUCGUAUUCAAGAAAAAGUCGAGUAAAAUAAAAUAUCCAUCAAGCUUUCAUUAUCUACUAAAUUUUUUUUUACAUCAUAAUUAGCUAUCAUUGCCGAAACAACGACAACAUCAUCAUGAAGAGUUUGUAUUCUCCGAACAUCAUCUUUCGAAAAGGUAAUUACAUUGUCGAGUCAUCAUUUCUUUAUCGACUCUUUUUCGGAAGUUGCCUCCCAGUUUUUCUGUCGCUUGGAGAUCAUGUUAAUUACUCUCGUCGUUGGUCGAUUAUUGAGUGUCUCCUCAGCUUGUGACUGAGGUUGUUGGUCGGUAGGAGGUUGAGUCGGAUGAUCACGUUAGAAUUUUUUGAGAUAGCCUCAUCGAAUCAAGACCUCUAUCUCGUCUCUGAGUUGGAUGCACUGUUCGAUAUCAUGACCGUGAUCACGAUGGAACCGACAGUACUUCUUUCUGUCUUAGCUCCUCGAUGGUGCUUUCAUUGGUGGGGGGUGUUGUAAGUACUCCUUUUCUUCGAUCUCCAUUAAGAUCUACGUACGGAGAGCAAAAAAAAGAGUGUAGGAGUCAUACCUGCCAUAACUAUUCGGUUUCGGACUCCGUCGUCAAGGUGAAGCUCUUUUAUUGAUAGUCAGCCUACUUGAUUCGAUCGGAGCUUCAUUUUUCUUUUGUUUCUUCUUCUGACCUUUUUCGUCUAUCUGGCAUUAGUCAGAAGUAGCUUCAUCUACGUGAAUGUACUUGUAUGCACACUCUAGAAGUCAGCAUAGGUCCAAAAGAGAGUUUUAUCUAGAGAGUAGGUGAAUCUCGAUCCCCUCAGACCCUUCUUCAUGGCCAAUAUACUCAUGUCUUCAUGGAGAUCCCUGACCUCAAGUGUGGCUGCAUUGAAGCGAGCCACAAAGUCUCUCAAUAUCUCUGUCUCACCUAGCUUGAUUGAGAAGAGACUGUCGGAUAUCUAUGGCGAUCUUCGGCUAGUGCUGAAGUGGGCCACGAAAGAAUGCUCAAGCUACUCGAAAGAGUUAAUGCUCUUCGACUGAAGCCUGAAAUACCAGGCUCGAGCAACCUUCCGAAGAGUUGCCGGGAAGCCAAUGCAUAAGAGUGUAUUGGUUGUCCCUUGGAUCAUCGUGAGAGCCUUAUAGCUUUCCAAGUGGUCGAUUGGAUCGAUGGAACUGUCGUAUGACUCCAUCUGUGGCAUCUUGAAUCGAGAGAGAAUUGGUUCAUCCAAGAUGUGUCGAGAGAGAGACUGGGCAGUGUGGAAGUUAGUCAUUGGAGGACUUCUGACCUUCCAUCUGAAGUCGGACGAGCUGAUAAUCAAUUUCUCGAAACUUGUGAUCAUAAUCGUCAAGCCGUCAUUGCUGAAAAACUCUAAGGGUGGAAACCCCUGAAGAGCUCGAAGAAGGAGAAGCAGAAGGCGUCCGUGGUCAUUUUCCCAUCCUGAUACUGUAUAUAUGGGAAGGAGAGCGAGAACACCGUGAAUGAUGGGUGGCACAAUAAGAGUGUGGAGAAUACGGUUGUCCGUCUCGGUGAGUGUCGAGACGGUCGCUCUGAAGAUGAGGAGGGUGAGCACCACGUGACGGUGGUUGUGCCUAGAUGGCAAUGACUGAGCCAUCGGUUGCUCCACUGGCAACUGCUGCUGCUGCUGAAUUUGCUGCUGCUGGAGGCUUUGAACCAUCUCUGUCAAAACCUUCAUUUACUGUAUAAAUGCAGUAAUCUGUGCAUCCGUGGUGACCACAGAACGCAAGAAACUGGGCUCUGCCACCGGAGGUGGGAGAGCGACAUCUUAUCGAUGGAAAGACAACCUCGUCGAUCCAGUCGAGUGUUGAGCUCUGAUUUUUGGCAUGGUUAACUGUAGUCUCCCCCUAUCUGGCGCGCCAAUCUGUUGCAGUCAAUCUCCUGUCACCUGUCGUCAGUGAAGAGCACUUACAAGCUAAAGUUCUCAUAAAUCAGAGUUGUGUCCAGUGGGGACCCUCUGAUGCUUAAGUCAGAGAAGAGAUUGAUGAACAGCAGAUAAAGAUUAUUUAGAAUGACAGAGUAUUAGCCCAGAAUUAUCCUUACCUGUGCUGCUCAUUUACCUCUCCUUUUAUAGACAAUUCUGAUAUAACCAUCAAGCACAUGGUCUCGCUUUUUAUGAUGCUAAAUUAUUGGACCACAAUCAUAGAGUUAAUGGAUUGUUUAUACCCACUAAUGAUCGUGACACAUAGUCAAUAACUAUUUAUAAUGGUUAGGUGUGUUGUGAAGAUAGGCCGACUAUAUAUCGGUAAUAGUGACAAGUCGGUAGUCUUAGAGAUCCGAAUGAGUAUCAGUCGGUAACUUUGACUCUGAUAUGCCGAUGAUCUUCGGUUGGAGAUGAACUGAGUUCUGUUGUUGGCUGAUAAUAGCCGACUAUCGGUCGGUUAGCCGAUUGUGAGUUAGCGUAAUAUGUUCAUGCGGUUGAUGUAGACUCGGAGUCGGGAAUCGAUUGACUUGUCCCAACAAGAGAGUAUGCAGCCAAGCACUGGGGUAUCGUCAUCAGGCACGUCAUGCAUGUGCCAUUAAUUAAUCAAGUCUACCUUGUUUAUGUCUUUUGGUUCUCUAUAUUAUGUCCUCCUAUAAUAAUAGCUAGAAUUGCAUGUUUGAUAUAUAUAUACAUACACACACACACACACACACACAUAUAUAUAUAUAUAUGUGUGUGUGUGUGUGACACCCCAAACCAGAUCCAAUUAUCGCACAGAUCUCAAAGCAUAAGCCCAAAAAAAAGAAAUACAUGGAAGAACUCCCAAAGGAGUUCUUUUCUGAUUCGAACUCCUAAAAUCCUUAGGAUUAGAGAUUAAAUCCAGCCCUAAUUCCUCCCUGUUUGAGGUCNNNNNNNNNNNNNNNNNNNNGGAGUUCUUUUCUGAUUCGAACUCCUAAAAUCCUUAGGAUUAGAGAUUAAAUCCAGCCCUAAUUCCUCCCUGUUUGAGGUCUAUUUAAGGGCCUCAAUCUCAUCAGUUUUUUCUCACAAAAAAUCAUCGAUUAAAUCACUGAUGUUUUUUCCUCCUCUCAUCCUAUUUAUCGAUGGAUAAUCUUCUUGUAGCCGUCGGAAAUCAAGUCAAACCCCAUCCAAAUCAGAUAAAAUCUCUUCCAUCUUAUUCCUUCAAUCUUUUAGAGGUUUUUAUCUUAGAUUUUAUUGAGUUUUCUUGCUGAAAAAUCCCUUCAAAAAUCAUUACUUUUUGAGUUCCUUGUUUUCUAUUUUGUUUUGAUUUUUCUGGCUGCUGGUUGCCGUCGUCGGUCACCGGACCCGACAGCUCGGUGUCGUCGAGGUUUGCCCCAUCGACCUGAGUGGUGGUCGGUCUGGGGAGAGGGCCUCCUCAUUGGGAACGAAGGGGAGCUCCCCUAUUCCGUGAAGAAAAGAAAAAGAAAGAAGAAGACCGCGUGGGUCCUCUAUUCAAAAAAAAAGAUAAAAAAAGAUAAAUAACUAAAAAAAUUAUGAGAGAGAGUUUCUCUCUCUUCUCUCUCUCCCUUCAGUCUGAACCCAUACUUUUUUCUCUAGAAUAUUGGACUUUCUCUUUAGAAUUUUUUCUCUCUAGAUUGUUUCUCUCUCUUCAUGAAUUUUUUUCUCUCAAGUUAUCUUUCUAAGAUUAGCAUAGUGAUAGACUUCUUUUUUGAUGAUUUUGAUUGAGUUUAGUGAAGAGUCCAAUCCUAAGUGAAAUUUUGAUUUGAGAUUUGCUUAGUUCUACUUUUGAAUUAAAAUUAAUAUAAAAAUAUAAUUUUAAAUAAUAGGUAUUGAAAAAUCUUUUAAAGAUUAAUCGAUCUAUUCGUUCAGUGAUCUGUGAAAGGUAAGUAAUGAAUCAUUUUCUCGAGAUAUUUCAUAUUUAUUUUGAAAGCAAAUAUAAUUAUUCUUAGAAUUAUGCAUGAUUUAUGAAAUUAUGUUUUAAACGAAAAGUGAUUCUGAAAUACUAUGGUUUAUUGAUUAUACAUAUGUUCAGUGAAAAUUAUAAUUUGUUAUGAUAUAAAAAUAUUUUGAUACAUAUCGAAUUUAUGCUCUCAGCCUAACUAUAUUUCAAUGGGCCUCGUCAAUGGGGAUUAUACGUUGGUAUUCGGUAGACUCUGCCAGUGGGAGUUGUGUGCUGGUAUUUGGUGGAUCCUAUCAGUGAAGGUUGUGUGCUGAUAUUUAGUAAACUUUAUCAGUGGAAGUUGUGUACUGGUAUUCAGUGGACCCCACCAAUGGAAGUUAAACAUUGAUUAUAGUCGAGGCUGUUGAGUUAUGAGUAUUUUAAUUUGAAAUCAGAUUUAUGAUUAUAUUAUAUAUAAAUAUUUAAAAAAAAUUAGAUUUAUAUUGAAUUAGCAUGAAAUAUAUUUUUAUAUUUAUUCACAGUAUUUGUUCUAAAAAAUUAUAUAAAUAUCUGAAAUAUCUAGUUGAGAUAUUUAUUACUUAUUGGGCGUCUAGCUCAUUAUCUUUCUUUUUAUUUUUCAGAUUCAGAUAAUUAAUUAUGAGCGUAGAAAAUAAUAUUGAGACAGAGCUUUUAGAGGAGAGAUUUAGCAUUAUUAACUUUAUUGAAGUUAGAUCUAUUACUUUAUUUUUAGUAAAAUUUUAUUGGAUGUAAGAUAUUUGAUUUAAUUAUUUGAAUUAAAAUUAAAUAAUAAUUAUUUAAUUUUAUUCUGCUGUGAUGCAUUGAUAUCGUGAUGAGAUACCUUGCAUACUUGUGGAGAGAGCUUUUCAUAAAUAUGCGACGGUUGCCGUGACCUCCAGCUCACGAUCUCGCAUCGGGGGCGUGACAAUUAAAAUGAUAUUAGAGCAUAAGUGGACAAAUUAUGACAUAGAAUCAGACACGAGCGUAGGUGGGUAAACACUAGGAACAUUGAGAUGAUGACUAAUAUUAAUUAUGACAUAACUUGGAAACUUGAAUUUGAUACAAGUAUAUUGAUAGAUUUGAAUCAGAGUGCACAGUGGAAGUAUAGUAGUUUGAAUUAUUUUCAAAUUGAUCAGAACAGUAAUUUGAUUUGACAAAAAUAAUGAUGAAAGAUUCGAUUUUGAAAUUAGAGGAUGACAUGAUUUAACAUAAAAGUAAUCUGAAUUUUUUAGGACUUAAGCAGAAAAAAAAUUUCAAAGAUGAAAUUUCUUUUUAAUGGGGAAGAAUGUGAUACCCCCAACCAGAUCCAAUUAUCGUACAGAUCUCAAAACAUAAGCCAAAAAAAAAGAAAUACAUGAAAGAACUCCCGAAGGAGUUCUUCUCUGAUUCGAACUCCUAAAAUCCUUAAAAUUAGAGAUUAAAUCCAGCCCUAAUUCUUCCCUGUUUGAGGUCUAUUUAAGGGCCUCAAUCUCAUCAAUUUUUCUCACAAAAAAUCAUCAGUUAAAUCACUGAUUUUCUUCCCUCCUCUCAACCUAUUUGUCGAUGGAUAUAAUAUUCUUGUGGCCGUCGAAAAUCAAGUCAAACCCCAUCCAAAUAAAAUCUCUUCCAUCUUAUUCCUUCAAUCCUUUAGAGAUUUUUAUCUUAAAUUUUACUGAGUUUUUCUAUUGAAAAAUCUAUUUAAAAAUCAUUAUUUUUUGAGUUCCUUGUUUUCUGUUUUGUUUUGAUCUUUUCGGCUGCUGGUUGCUGUCACCGAUCAUCGGACCCAACUGCUCAAUGUCGUCGAGGUUUGCCCCAUCGGCUUGAGUGGUGGUCAGCCAGGGUAGAGGGCCUCCUCAUUAGGAACGAAGGGGAGCAAGAGCUCCCCUAUUCCAUGAAGAAAAAAAAAGGAACAGGACUGUGUGGGUCCUCUGCUCCCAUGCAAAAAAAGAAAAAAAGAUAAAUAACUAAAAAAAUAUGAUAGAGAGUUUUUCUCACUCUCUUCAAUCUGAACCCUUGAUUUCUCUCUCUAAAAUAUUGAAUUUUUUCUCUCUACUUUCUCUCUCUAGAUUGUUUCUCUCUCUUCAUGGAUUUGUUUUCCUCUCAAGUUAUCUUUUCAAGAUUAGCAUAGUGAUAGACUUCCUUUUUGAUGAUUUUAAUUGAGUUUAGUGAAGAAUCCGAUCCUAAGUAGGAUUUUGAUUUAGGAUUUGUUUAAAUCUAAUUUUGAAUGAAAAUUAAUAUAAAAAUAUAAUUUUAAAUAAUAGGUACUGAAGAAUCUCCUUAAGGUUAAUCGAUAUAUUCGUUCAGUGGUCUGUGAAAGGUAAGUAAUGAAUCAUCUUCUCGAGAUAUUUCAUAUUUAUUUUGAAAGCAAAUAUAAUUAUUUUUAGAAUUAUGCAUGAUUUAUGAAAUUAUAUUUUGAACGAAAAGUGAUUCUGAAAUACUAUUGUUUAUUGAUUAUGCAUAUAUUCAGUGAAAAUUAUGAUAUGUUAUGAUAUAAAAGUAUUUUGAUACAGAUCGAAUUUAUGCUCUUAGCCUAACUAUGUUUCAGUGGGCUCCGCCAAUGAGGAUCAUACGUUGGUAUUGAGUGGACCCUGUCAGUGGAGGUUGUGCGCUGAUAUUUAGUGGACCCUACCUGUAGGGGUUAUGUACUGGUAUUUAGUGGAUCCCGCCAAUAGGGGUUAAAUGUUGGUCAUAAUCGAGGCUAUUGAGUUAUGAGUGUUUUGAUUUGAAAUUAGAUUUAUGAUUAUAGUGUAUAUAAAUAUUUGAAAAAAAAAUAGAUUUACAUUGAAUUAGCAUGAAAUAUAUUUUUAUAUUUAUUCACGGUAUUGUUUUAGAAAAUUAUAUAAAUAUCUGAAAUAUCUAGUUGAGAUAUUUAUUACUUACUGGACUAUCUAGCUCAUUAUCUUUCUUUUUAUUUUUUAAAUUCAGAUAAUUAAUUAUGAGUGUGGGAAAUAAUAUUGGAACAGAGCUUUUAGAGGCGAGAUUUAGCAUUGUUAACUUUAUUGAAGUUAGAUCUAUUAUUUUAUUUUUAGUGAAACUUUAUUAGAUGUAAGGUAUUUGAUUUAAUUAUUUGAUUUUAUUCCACUGUGAUGCAUUGAUAUCGUGAUGAGAUGCCUUGCAUGCUUGUGGAGAGAGUUUUUCGUAAGUAUGCGACGGUUGCCAUGACCUUGGAUUCUCGAUCCCGGAUAAGAGAUGUGAUAAUAUAUAUAUAUAUAUAUAUAUAUAUAUAUAUAUAUAUAUAUAUAUAUAUAUAUAUAUAUAUAUAUAUAUAUAUAUAUAUAUAUAUAUAUAUAUAUANNNNNNNNNNNNNNNNNNNNUAUAUAUAUAUAUAUAUAUAUAUAUGCGCGCGCUGCUUUUCUUGUGGUUAGAUAACCUUGUGCGUACGCAUCCCGUUUCCGUUGUAUUAGUUUGGUGUUGGAUAACCUAGCUUGUAAUGGAAGAGCUUCUGUCUGCUA
rnacentral:lncRNA from 1 species